AUUGAACGCUGGCGGCAGGCCUAACACAUGCAAGUCGAGCGAGCGGCGGACGGGGGAGUAAUGUAUGGGGACUGCCCGAUAGAGGGGGAUAACUACUGGAAACGGUAGCUAAUACCGCAUACUAUCGGAUAACCCAUAUGGGAUUAGCUAGUAGGUGAGGGAAUGGCGCACCGAGGCGACGAUCCCUAGCUGGUCUGAGAGGAUGAUCAGCCACACUGGGAUGGAGACACGGCCCAGACUCCUACGGAGGCAGCAGUGGGGAAUAUUGCACAAUGGGAGCAAGCCUGAUGCAGCCAUGCCGCGUGUAUGAAGAAGGCCCUAGGGUUGUAAAGUACUUUCAGUGGGGAGGCGUUACCGACAGAAGAAGCACCGGCUAACUCCGUGCCAGCAGCCGCGGUAAUAC
rnacentral:rRNA from 1 species